UCAAUAGAGCUCAAUCGGUAGAGCGUGAGACUCUUACACAUCACGUGAAAGCGUGAGAAAGAAACAUCUCAAGGUUGCGGGUUCGACCCCCGCGUUGGG